CGGCAUGGGGUUUACUUUAUAUAACCACUGUUUCACAGUAAUAAUAAGCAACUCCGAUAUAUACAGACCUUCCUUAUAAGUGCAUGGGACUAACAACUUUAUAUGAACAUAAUUUGACAGUAAUAACAAGCAACUCCAAUAUAUCUACAGACUUUUCUUAUUAGUGCAUGGGAUUUACUUAAUAUAAACAUUAUUUGACAGCAAUUACAAGCAACAUUCCAGUUUAUGUCCACACAUUCCGCAUUAGUAUAUGGUGUUUUGAAUGUACAAAAACCGGAAGGUCUAUGUUAAGAGCAUUUGCAUCAACAACUUUUUCACUAAAUACAUAAAUUUUUCUGACAUUUUACAGCAAUGUCCCAUCCUUUCAUUGCAGAUCCCCAUUUGAGAUGUAUAUUUCCCCUCGAAAGAAAAAUGUUAAGUCAUGUGAGUGAUUCCUUUCAGAGUGAACACAGUGAAUCUGACUGCAGUAGAUGUGAAAGUUUGAAUAAAAGUGAUGUUAAUUCAGCCAUCGCACAUACCUGUAUUUACUUCCUAUUUUCGGUCGAAGUCCACAGUAGUCAAUUGUCGAGUUCUCCACUGUUGCUUAGUUACUUAUGAUCACGCGCGUGAACUCGACAAUCGACUUCUGUGUACUUCGACAGGAAGUAAAUACAGGUAUGUGCUAGGGCUGGGCGAUAUAUCUAACGAUAUGAUCAUGCGCAUCUAGUCAGUAAAUCUGGUUCCUUGAUUACCGCUAAAUCGCCAUCACCUGCUUUCAAAUGGAGCGGCAUUUAAUAGACAGAGCCGUAGAUCACUGACAAGCUACGCAAUAUCGCGUUCAUUAUCCCAGAUGUAUCGCCUUCGAUAAUCAACGCGAUAUUGCGUAGCUUGUCAGUGAACUACGGCUCUGUCUAUUAAAUGCCGCUCCAUUUGAAAGCAGGUGAUGGCGAUUUAGCGGUAAUCACGGAACCAGAUUUACUGACUAGAUGCGCAUGAUCAUAUCGUUAGAUAUAUCGCCCAGCCCUAAUAUGUGCGCUGGCUGAAUUAACAUCACUUUUAUUCAUAUCUUUCACAUCUGCUGCAGUCAGAUUCACCGUGUUUACUCUGAAAGGAAUCACUCACAUGGCUGGGCACUUGUAAUGACACAUCAAGGAUGUUAAGAGGCUAAAAGCAGGUUUAAAACUUGCCCCAUUUAAGUCAACAGGGUGCAAAUUUUAAAAAGAGGAUAACACAGUGUAGGCAACACCAAUUUUUGUCGUUGUUCUCUGUACUGACAGCACUCCAAAUUUACAAAAAAAAUGAGCUCAAUGUUAAAAUUGUCCGGAGUUCUCCUUUAACAAGCGGCUCCAGAUUUAACACGUGAUAACAUCACAGUUUGAGUCUUCUCUAGUUUGUGGCUUUGGGAGAGAGUAGCUCAUGUUCACAACAGAAAAACUAUAAAUGCCCAAAAAGUUUAUGGGGUUAGAUUUCAGUCACAAUUCUGCGUGCGCAAGAUCACAUUUUGAGCAUGCGAAUGGGCAUUUCGCACGUGUGUGAACCGAGUUUUGCGGAGAAAUAUCUGUCUCUCAGAUAAUAAAAUAUUUCGAGCGUACAAAAAUCAAUUUUGCUUUUAAAAUAAGUAUUUGGAUGUGCGCAGAUGUUCUCUUUCGCAUGUGCAAAGUUUCACUUUCUUGCUCCUCUCAUACCAGCCCUGAGUGCUCUCUAAGCGCAGACGGCUCGCUUGCUCAACACAACCCAGCGUUACAAUAUGC
ensembl:lncRNA